UUGACUUCUCCAGGGUCUUGGGACGCGGAGAUGCUCACACAUGUUUUGGUGCAGUGAAGUCUGGCCAGAAGUUAAGGAACUGGGUUCUCGGUUGUACACCCUGAGAAGGGGAGGACGGUUUACAGUCCAAAGCCCCGGGUUUCUUUGGCCACGCUGUUCUACCUCCAAACUCCUGGUGCCCAUGGGGUGCAAUUUGAUGAGUUUGGACAUUCUCCAUGACGCCAUCACUGCAAUCAAGGUAAUGGACGUAUCCUCACUCUGACUCCCCGAAAUGGCGUCUCCCUCCCACCUACCUCUGGGCUCCACCCCCUGACAGUGUCUGCCAUCAGCCCACCUGGAUGAAGAUUUUGGAUUCAGACUCAGGCCUGGAGCAAACUCUAGGUGCUCUCAGAAGGCUUUAGCUUUCGUGCCACAGAGAACUCUCCCUCCUCUGGACUCCGUCCUCAAGACCGUGGGCCUACAGUCCAUCCGAAUUUCCCCCAAGCAGGUUCUCACGGGGCCGGCAUCCGCUUUGUUCUUCAUCAGAGAUGCUUUGUGGCACAGUAACCAGACUGUGAAUUUCGAAUCUAAUGGGCAGGGUUUGGAGUGACACCCUGGAAUCAGUAGUUGCCAGCUGGAUGACUCCGGGCACAUUAUUUAACCUCUCU